rnacentral:rRNA from 1 species
UACGUAGGGGGCGAGCGUUGUCCGGAGUUACUGGGCGUAAAGCGCACGCAGGCGGUCUGCUAAGUUUGGAGUGACAGUUGGUGACUUAACUGCCAAAGUGCUUCGAAAACUGACAGACUUGAGGGCUUCAGAGGGACACGGAAUUCCGGGUGGAGUGGUGAAAUGCGUAGAGAUCCGGAGGAACACCAAAGGCGAAGGCAGUGUCCUGGGGAGUACCUGACGCUCAGGUGCGAAAGCCAGGGGAGCGAACGGG